rnacentral:siRNA from 1 species
UAUAUGGUCAACAUAGAAUGGUCGC